rnacentral:lncRNA from 1 species
ACAUAUUAAUAAGCUGAUGGUUUUUCUCUUGUUAAUCUUUCUUUUCCUUGAAGAGUCCCAGAUAAAAACCUAAGAUGAAGUUUUCCUCCCCUAUACAUACUUCCCAAGUGCUUCUGUCCUCACUCCAGGUCUUCUGGUCUGCCUGUGUCAACCACAGCUGUCACUGAAGGCAUCAUGUGAACAUAGCUCAGGGUCUCCCAGACAUAAAUACCUGUCCAUAAUAGGAUAGAGCAGAACCUUUGGCCUCCAUUCCUAUAUCUCUGUGGUCUGCAUGUUUUCAUCUCCACUUUCCUCAAAGGAGCAUAGAUCCUGCACCAGACAUGUUUCCCUCCUUCAUCCAAAUAACAUCAGAAAGGUCUCUUUCCCCAGAGCCAACUGGAGCAGCAGGUUUUAAACUUAAGGGAACAUCAGAAUCCCCUAAGGGGCAAGUAUGUGAAGACACAGUUUGCUGGAUCCACCCCCCAGAAUCUCUGAUUCAGUAGAUUGUGCAUAGAUAAUUCAUUUCUAACAAGUUCCCAGGUGAUCCUGACACUUCUGGUUCUGAUGAUGCAGGUCCAAACUCUGAGACCCCAGAGUCUACAGCUUAUUUCUCACAUUUAUCCUGUGCAUCAUUGUCUCAUGACAUACUCUAUGCAAGAGUUCCCUUACCACUGGGAAUUUAGGAAGAACAUUGGAAAUGCAGCCUUGGGGAGCCCCUCUUUGAAACUCAAAUGCACAAUAAAGUCUGAGACAUUCAGUUGUGAAAAACAAAAUACAACCUAUCAGUAAGUCCAGAGUUUCCCAAAAUAUUAGCUCAUGCAACUUAUUUUUUCCAGAGCUUUCAUUAACCUCUCAUGGAAUCAGUACCUCUUCAGAAAACACUUUGCAAAACACAUUGGAAGAUCAUAUACUCAUAUGGUUUUGUAUAAUCAUCUGUUGCUACCCAGGAAGGCUUUAAGAAUCUAGGUGGCUAAGCAGACUCCCUGCCACCACAAGGCCAGCCACCUGGGAAGCCAGAUCUCAGCCAGAAUGCUUUCAAUCCCAGCUCCUACCCCAGCUCGUCACAGCUGCUCCAACAGACUGGAGACCCAGGAAGAUAUUUAUAGUCCUUUGGCUUUGUCUUUAUAAAUUCUCACCCUCCAGGACCACAAACAGGCAUCCUGGGCUGGAUCCAGGGGCAAGCCCUGCUGCCCUUUCCUGCUGUACUGUGCUUGGCUAAUGGCUUCAUCACUCUGUAUUUUAAACAUGAAAGGUAAAUACAAAUCAUCAACAUAGUAGUGAAGGUAGAGAGGAAUAAAUCUCAUGUUUACAGAGCUUGGGAAUCAAAAGACAUCUAGUGAGGGUGGCAGGUGCUUUAGGAGGGAGUGUUUAUGGGGGUGGGGGCCUUGAUUUGGAGGCACUGAGUGACAAGUGUAAGCAAAGAGCUUCUUCCCCCUGUCUUAGACCUCAGAUUCCUUUUUAUUGCCAGGCCAUGAAGUUUUCAACUGAAACAGCCAAGGGGUGCCAAACAUUCUUGUUAAUUUGUAUGAAUCCUUUCAGCAAUCUGGUAUCAACUUGAGUACAAUGACAAUUAAUAUGUCAAUUCGUUCUCUCCCCCUCUUCCUCUUCUCUCUCUCCCAGGUCCUGAGCCACUUAUGCUUAUUGCUUUUAGAAGUCAGCCACACUAACACAUCUUCUAACACACACACUAAGACCCUAUAGUCUCUCCGUGCCAGUACCCUAAACCAGGCCCACCUGGGCCAGAGAGGAAUAAUAACCAGUGAGGAAAGAAGGAUCUUGAUCCACUUUGCAAAUCUGCAAAACAAAAGUGAAGAACCACUGCUUAGUUUCUAAUAAGCCAAGUUACCUGUAGCUGGUAGACUGAGAUUGCUUUUCAUUAAUAAAAUGUGUGAAAACCAGUAUGCUUCAGGCCUACAACUGCCUGGAUCACUGGCCAGGCCCAUGUUCCUCAGUAUAUGCCUGCCUCAGUUUUCUGAUCUCUGAAAUGAGGUUAGAUAAUAGGGCCCUUGUGAGGAAUAGUAGUGUUAAUGUAAGAAGAGAAUAGAAUGCCACUAGCACUUGGUAAGCACCUGUAGGAGAGCUCAGGGAUGGCCUCACAGAGCCCUGAGGUUGGACUGCCUGAUGUUUGCUUGCUUUUCUGUUGAAUAACAGCUUUAUUGAAACAUGAUCCACACACUAUAAGGUUCACCCUGUUAAAGUAUAUAAUUCUGUGAUUUUUAGUAUACUCACAGACUAGUGCCACUAUCAUCACUCUCUCAUUCCAUAACAUUUCCAUCACUCUUCCCCAAAAAAUCCCAUGCUCAUUUGCAGUCACUCAUUCCCUGCUGCUCUCACCUGGGGCCCUCGGCAACCACUACUCUACUUUCUGUCUCUAUGUAUUUGCCUGUUCUGGACAAUUCUUUCCAUUUCAUGGAAUCAUACAACAUGUGGCCUUUUAUGUCCGAGACUGUUUACAUUUGAAUCUUGGCCCCAGAGUUCAAAAGUUGUGUGACCUUUAUCCAGUUCUCCCGGAAUUUCUCCAUCUGUGAAAUGGAAUUAAAAUCAUAGUAGAUACACCAUAGAGUCUUUAGGAAGAUUAAAAGUGCUAAUUAAUACAUCUAAAGCACUCACACAGGGCCUAGCUCAUAGGCCCUUGAAUAUGAAUCUCCACUACUGCUACUACUACUAUUACUUGUAUGCUAUUCCUCUUCCCCAAAGCAUGUGGCAACCCAGAGAUGAACAGAUCACAGAGAACACGGCCCUUGCCCUCCCUAGUACUCAGCCUGGUGGGGAUCAUACAAUUAAAAAACCAGCUUGAAUAAAUACAGUAAAGUCUUAUCAUAUGCACAUUUAACUAAUGGAAAUCCAGCUCUUCCACUGAAAAAAGAAGGAAAAAGAACAAUUUAAAUACUGCAAUUAAAUUCUGUAAAAUUAUAUCUUACCUGUAUUCUUUAUUAUGCACUGUACAUUAUGGCAUGCAUUAUACAAUGUUACAUACUGAUUACAAUACAGGGAUGCACACACAAAACCAUACAUACUGCAAUUUAAUGGGCAACUUAAGAUAUUUCAAGGUUAAUGACGACGGCGUCUGCCUUAAACCUUGAUUUUAUAAUCUAACCCCUGAGUAAGAUGCAACUCUAUUGUAUGUCAACAACAGUAACAAUUCAGAAUGAUUCCAAACAAAUGAAAUCAACCAAUGAGCCAUUGGUUGAGGUGAGCUAUAGGGGUUCCACUUGGUCCCAUUUGCCCAAAUACCCAUUAGCACAAUUUCUUCCCUCCACAAGCUCACAGUCUCAUUGUGAGAAUAAACUACAAAAACAGAAUUACAAGAGGUUGCUGAGCAGCAGAAUGGGGUUUAAGAAACAGAUGGAAAUAAUCUCUCACCCUACUAGCUGACAAGACAAGCAGAUAGACAACAGAAGGACUGUGCUCUCCACAGAACUCACCACAUGACAGACAUCAUGUAUAUACCUGUUCAUUUUUUUAUUGUCUCUCCUCCAGCUAGUACAGAAGCUCACCAGGUUAGGGACUUUGUGUACAUUGUUUAUAUCUGUAUUCCCAAUGCUGAAAAGAGUGUUGAGCACCCAGUGGGUGGCCAGUAAGAUUUGUUGGUGAAUGAAUGAAUGAAGGUAACUGUUUAGAUAACCUCCAUUUUUCUCCCAUCUUAUGUCCCCCAAACAACCAUAGUCUGUUCCUCCAACCUCAACUUAUUUAUUCCUUAAUUGUUUAUAAGUAGUGGGAAUAUAUCCAUGCCAAAGAUGAGGCCCAAAGGUAGCAUUCCAGGGCUUUGGCAUACUGGUACCAUCUAGUGGGAAAGAGAGUAUCUGCAGGUGGGUACUAAACCAAACUCGGUGGUUUAAAAAAAAACAAAACAAAUAGAACCCAUAACCCUUCCCUUUAACAUAAGCUCUAUUGAGGAAGUUUUGGGCAAUAUGUAACAGGGCAACUGGUAUCUCUUAUAUACUCACGCCCUAUCCAGGGCACAAACUGCCAAUCCAAGCACCUGUCACACCACUCAGGACUUGCCUAUUUUUCUACUCAGGACUUCUCCAAAACCAUGGUUGCUCCCCCAGAACCACAAAGGCUUAUCAGGGAAGCACAGAGAAACCAAUGGUAUUAGGGGCCACCCUUGACCAAUGGAAGAUGGGCAUAGUGGGUAUACACCCCAGCUUCCUAUCCAGCAAAGAGACUAUUCUAAAGCAGAUUUUAUGCAAUUCUUCUGAGGAGUCCUAGCAAUAAUGAGCCUUAGUUGCCCAUGAUAGUAACCAGAUCAAAGAGCUUUUUUUGGCUUUCCUUCUUUCUUGUUCCUUAUUUCUGUGUCUUAGGGUCAUCUCUCAGAUUAGCUCCCUGCAUCCAAGCCUAUAUCUCCAUCACUUAGGUUGUACUAAGGAAUGCAGCCUAAGAUAGUGUUUAAUACCAAUACACCUUUGAGUGAUGAGGAAGGCUUAAAAAUUGUAGUCCAGAUAAUACUACAAAAGCUGAAUUAUAUAUUUCAGUCCUUGUCUGAGAAUUCUGUUCCAUAGUUAAUCUUUACCUUGAUUAGAGUUAAUGUGGAAUAAUCCAAUGAUACUAUCUUCCUAAAGAAAUACCACAUUCUCACGGUAGCAACAGGCCAAAGAAAACGUCUGGUUUCUUUCCCUGGCCUUGACCCUAUCCCAAUUUGACCAACUGGUGAGGUGGCUGGGGUUCUGAUCAGAAGGUGGCAAAGAAUAGCCCAAGGGCCAAAUCCAGCUCUGCCUGUUUUUCUGAAUAAAGUUUUAUUGAAAACAGCCCAGCCCAUUUGUUCACAUGGUUCGUGCAGCUGUUUUUACGCUACAUUGAUAGUGUUGAGUAACUGCAAAAGAGACAUAUAUUUAUUCUUUACAGAAGAAGACUACCUACCUGUAGUUUAAAUUCUUGGUUACCAUAUUUUUAGAUUCCCAAAAAUAAAAUUUCAAGAAAAACAAAAAAUAUAGAAUGGAUAAAGGUUUGCCAGUGAUACUUUACUGCUCUAUUUACCAUGAUAAAUAGAAGACAAAAAUGGGAUAGGCAGUUAGUUGACUAACUUCAUUUUACAAACAAUAGGACAUUUCAUCUCUAAAACUAGAAAAGAUCAUUGCAUCAGAACAAUGACCUUUCCACCCCAAAAUUGGACUGUGAAUAGACUCAGAACAACUGCCUAUCCCAUUUUGUUUUACAGCAUCACUAUCCAAAAUUAUUGUACUUACUUAUUUUUAAGGUUUACAGUCUUUCUCCCUCAUUAGAACAUAGACAACAAUGAGGGCAGGCAAGCUUGUCUUUCUUCAAUGCGGCUUACCCUGUGGUUGAUCAGUUAAUAUUUGUUAAAUGAAUGACUUAAACAUGAAAUGUACAGAUUGGGAUGCACAGAUACAAAGGUCCUUAGAGGGAUGCCUGGGUGGCUCAGCGGUUGAGUAUCUGCCUUUGGCUGAGGGUGUGAUCCUGGGGGUCCCAGGAUCGAGUCCCGCAUCAGGCUUCCUGCAUGGAGCCUGCUUCUCCCUCUGCCUAUGUCUCUGC